AAGAUGGAGCAUAUGUAAAUGAAGCGGCAAAAGUUAUCUGUGAAAAAAUUUAGCAAACUCUGAGUCAAAGCAAUGUGGAUGAGUCUAUAAUAUCGCCAGAUGAUGCAGUUGGAAAAAUUCUAGGAAAAGAGCACUCUGGAAGGGUAAGGUGUUUGGGAUUAGGAGUUGUUCCCACUAGAGUUUUUAAACAAGCAAGACCUCGAUUCAGCGGUAUGAAUGCUUCGAGUGUUUCAUGUCCAUCCAAUUGCCAGGAGAACUACAAUAAAUUGUUGAAUUCUCACAUUCAAAUGAUGGCUGAUUUCAAGUCAUAUAUGAUAAUGAAAGAAGGGGCAUUACCAGAACAAUUUGUGGGGUUAUUUGCUCCUACUACUACAAUGCCAGGUGAUGUUAGUGAUAGUAAUCGUAGUGAACCCCGCUGAAGUUUCAUGAAUAAUUGUAGAUCCUUUCUUGAGUUUGGAUGCUAGUGAUCUAAAGUUUAAGCAAUUUUUUGUAGUGAUUUGAAGUUCAAGCAAGUUUUUGUAGUGAUUGAAAGUUUCUUGUAAUAAUAUGGUUGAAGUGAAUAACAUGUUCUAAUUAAGUUUGUAGAACUAAUAGUACACUUUAUGACAUGCUUCCGUGGUGAACUAUUGUGUUAUUUCAUAUACUAAUAUGCCCUUUUAGAUU